AGAGCGAACGCUGGCGGCAGGCCUAACACAUGCAAGUCGAGCGCCCGUAGCAAUACGGGAGCGGCAGACGGGAUAGUAACACGUGGGAACGCGCCCUUCGGUUCGGAAUAACUCAGGGAAACUUGAGCUAAUAGCGAAUACGCCCUUACGGGGAAAGAUUUAUUGCCGAAGGAACGGCCCGCGUCCGAUUAGCUAGUUGGUGAGGUAAUGGCUCACCAAGGCUACGAUCGGUAGCUGGUCUGAGAGGAUGACCAGCAUCACUGGGACUGAGACACGGCCCAGACUCCUACGGGAGGCAGCAGUGGGGAAUAUUGGACAAUGGGCGCAAGCCUGAUCCAGCCAUGCCGCGUGGAUGAUGAAGGCCUUAGGGUUGUAAAGUCCUUUUAACGGGGAAGAUAACGACGGUACCCGUAGAAUAAGCCCCGGCUAACUCGUGCCAGCAGCCGC
rnacentral:rRNA from 1 species